rfam:Ictidomys tridecemlineatus contig044450, whole genome shotgun sequence.
GGGGAUAUAGUUUAGUUGGUUGGGUGCUUGCCUUGCAUGCACAGGCCCUGGGUUCAAUCCCCAGUACCACCA